UGGGGAAUUUUGGACAAUGGGCGAAAGCCUGAUCCAGCAAUGCCGCGUGUGUGAAGAAGGCCUUCGGGUUGUAAAGCACUUUUGUCCGGAAAGAAAUCCUUGGCUCUAAUACAGUCGGGGGAUGACGGUACCGGAAGAAUAAGCACCGGCUAACUACGUGCCAGCAGCCGCGGUAAUACGUAGGGUGCAAGCGUUAAUCGGAAUUACUGGGCGUAAAGCGUGCGCAGGCGGUUUGCUAAGACCGAUGUGAAAUCCCCGGGCUCAACCUGGGAACUGCAUUGGUGACUGGCAGGCUAGAGUAUGGCAGAGGGGGGUAGAAUUCCACGUGUAGCAGUGAAAUGCGUAGAGAUGUGGAGGAAUACCGAUGGCGAAGGCAGCCCCCCUGGGCCAAUACUGACGCUCAUGCACGAAAGCGUGGGGAGCAAACAGGAUUAGAUACCCUGGUAGUCCACGCCCUAAACGAUGUCAACUAGUUGUUGGGGAUUCAUUUCCUUAGUAACGUAGCUAACGCGUGAAGUUGACCGCCU
rnacentral:rRNA from 1 species